GAUGAACGCUGGCGGCGUGCCUAACACAUGCAAGUCGAGCGCGGUCCCUUUGGUGCUUGCACCAAAGACGACUGAGCGGGCGGACGGGUGAGUAACGCGUGGGUAACCUGCCCUGUACAUAUGGAUAACAUGCUGAAAAGCAUACUAAUACAUAAUAACGUACAUUGAAGGCAUCUUCGAUGUAUCAAAGCGUUAGCGGUACAGGAUGGACCCGCGUCUGAUUAGCUAGUUGGUGGGGUAAAAGCCUACCAAGGCGACGAUCAGUAGCCGACCUGAGAGGGUGAUCGGCCACAUUGGGACUGAGACACGGCCCAG
rnacentral:rRNA from 1 species